UACGUAGGGGGCAAGCGUUGUCCGGAAUCAUUGGGCGUAAAGAGCGCGUAGGCGGUCCGGUAAGUCGGUUGUGAAAACUGGGGGCUCAACCCUCAGAGGCCGACCGAUACUGUCGGGCUAGAGUCCGGAAGAGGCGAGUGGAAUUCCUGGUGUAGCGGUGAAAUGCGCAGAUAUCAGGAGGAACACCAAUGGCGAAGGCAGCUCGCUGGGACGGUACUGACACUGAGGCACGAAAGCGUGGGGAGCGAACAGG
rnacentral:rRNA from 1 species